rnacentral:rRNA from 1 species
CUACGGAGGGUCCGAGCGUUAUCCGGAAUCAUUGGGUUUAAAGGGUCCGUAGGCGGGAAUCUAAGUCAGUGGUGAAAUCUUGCAGCUCAACUGUAAAAUUGCCAUUGAUACUGGAUUUCUUGAAUUAGUGUGAAGUGGUUAGAAUGUGUAGUGUAGCGGUGAAAUGCAUAGAUAUUACACAGAAUACCAAUUGCGAAGGCAGAUCACUAACACUAUAUUGACGCUAAGGGACGAAAGCGUGGGGAGCGAACAGGAUUAGAUACCCCGGUAGUCC